UGGGGAAUAUUGGGCAAUGGAGGAAACUCUGACCCAGCGACGCCGCGUGAGGGAUGAAGGCCUUCGGGUUGUAAACCUCUUUCAGCAGGGAAGAAGCGAAAGUGACGGUACCUACAGAAGAAGCACCGGCUAACUAUGUG
rnacentral:rRNA from 1 species